UCCUUGACAGUCCAGUGGUUAGGACACUGUGCUUCCACUGCAGGGGGCAUGGGUUCAAUCCUUGGUCAGGGAA
rnacentral:tRNA from 1 species